UCCGACGCGAAACAAUGGCGCGCGUCCGGAAGUUAUCCCAUCGGCUUUGCACGAGAAGAAGAACUCGUGGGGACUACGUUGCUCGCUUCGCUUGUCCGAGACAAGCUUUAGACCGACGAUCAGCGAUGACAACCCCCGGGGAUGAUGGUAGCUCGUCGUGCCAACGACCCAGUAUUUUGCAUACAAAUAACCGCGGAAAUCGAUAAAGCUUUUGAUUUUAAUGACAAUAGUUGCCUUUCAAUUUCAAGAGAUUCACAAGAAGAAGGAGCAGAAAUGGCUUUUCUAAAAGAAGAAAGGUAGAAGAGAGGGAUUACUCCCCUUGGGAAAUCAGUAGACACUAUCUUUGUGAAUUCUACCCAGAUUCUUUUUAAAAAAUUCUUCUUCCAGACUGAACUAGAAGACACAGAUAAAAACUUUGUAUAAGACUCUA